rnacentral:rRNA from 1 species
CAGCCGCCGCGGUAAUACGUAGGGUGCGAGCGUUAAUCGGAUUUACUGGGCGUAAAGCGUGCGCAGGCGGCCCGUUAAGACAGGUGUGAAAUCCCUGGGCUCAACCUAGGAAUUGCGCUUGUGACUGGCGGGCUCGAGUACGGUAGAGGGGGGUGGAAUUCCUGGUGUAGCAGUGAAAUGCGUAGAGAUCAGGAGGAAAACCGAUGGCGAAGGCAGCCCCCUGGGCCUGUACUGACGCUCAUGCACGAAAGCGUGGGGAGCAACCAGGAUUAGAUACCCUGGUAGUCCACGCCCUAAACGAUGGGUACUAGCCGUUUGGUGCGCGAGAGCGCUGAGUGGCGAAGCUAACGCGUGAAGUACCCCGCCUGGGGAGUACGGCCGCAAGGUUGAAACUUAAAGGAAUUGGCGGG